GAUGAAGAACGUAGCGAAAUGCGAUAAGUAAUGUGAAUUGCAGAAUUCAGUGAAUCAUCGAGUCUUUGAACGCACAUUGCGCCCCCUGGUAUUCCGGGGGGCAUGCCUGUCCGAGCGUCAUUGCUGCCCUCAAGCACGGCUUGUGUGUUGGGCCCCGUCCUCCGAUCCCGGGGGACGGGCCCGAAAGGCAGCGGCGGCACCGCGUCCGGUCCUCGAGCGCAUGGGGCUUUGUCACCCGCUCUGUAGGCCCGGCCGGCGCUUGCCGAUCAACCCAAAUUUUUAUCCAGGUUGACCUCCGAUCAGGUAGGGAUACCCGCUGAACUUAAGCAUAUCAAUAACGGAGGA
rnacentral:misc_RNA from 1 species